rnacentral:rRNA from 1 species
CUAAGAGCAAAUGGUGGAUGCCUUGGCUAGUAGAGGCGAUGAAAGACGUGCCAGGCUGCGAUAAGUCUCGGGGAGCCGUCAAGGGGCUUUGAUCCGGGAAUUUCUGAAUGGGGCAACCCAGUAUAUAGUGAUAUGUACUACCGCAAUGCGGAGCGAACGUUGGGAAUUGAAACAUCUUAGUACCAAUAGGAAAAGAAAUCAAACGAGAUUACGCUAGUAGCGGCGAGCGAAAGCGUAAGAGGGCAAACCACUAGCUUGCUAGUGGGGUUGUAGGACUGCAAUAUAGACUUAAACAAUCUAAUAGAAUAAGUUGGAAAGCUUAAGCAUAGAGGGUGAUACUCCCGUAUAUGAAAGUGCGUUUAUACUUAGCAGUAUCCUGAGUAGGGCGGGACACGUGUAAUCCUGUCUGAAGCUGGGUAGACCACUAUCCAACCCUAAAUACUACUACUAGACCGAUAGUGCACAAGUACCGUGAGGGAAAGGUGAAAAGAACUGAGGUGAUCAGAGUGAAAUAGAACCUGAAACCAUUUGCUUACAAUCAUUCAGAGCCCUAUGAUUUAUCAGGGUGAUGGACUGCCUUUUGCAUAAUGAGCCUGCGAGUUGUGGUGUCUGGCGAGGUUAAGGAAACCCGGAGCCGUAGCGAAAGCGAGUCUUAAUAGGGCGUAUAGUCAGAUGCUGCAGACCCGAAACGAUGUGAUCUAUCCAUGAGCAGGUUGAAACUGGUGUAAGAGCCAGUGGAGGACCGAACAGACGGCCGUUGAAAAGGCUCCUGAUGACUUGUGGAUAGGGGUGAAAGGCCAAUCAAACAUCGUGAUAGCUGGUUCUCUCCGAAAUAUAUUUAGGUAUAGCGUUGUGUAGUAACUUUGUGAGGUAGAGCACUGAAUGGGCUAGGGCAUACACCAAUGUACCAAACCCUAUCAAACUCCGAAUGCGCAAAGUGUAAUCACAGCAGUCAGGCGGCGAGUGAUAAAAUCCGUCGUCGAGAGGGGAACAACCCAGACUAACAGCUAAGGUCCCUAAAUCUCAUUUAAGUGGAAAACGAUGUGGAGUUACUGAAACAACCAGGAGGUUGGCUUAGAAGCAGCCAUCCUUUAAAGAAAGCGUAAUAGCUCACUGGUCUAGUGAUUCUGCGCGGAAAAUAUAACGGGGCUAAAAUGAGUACCGAAGCUUUAGACUUGCACUUAAUUCUAAUUAUAAAUUAAAUUAUGAGAAAAUAGUUUAGCUAAAAUAAUUAGAAGUAGUUAGAAUUAAGUGCAAGUGGUAGGAGAGCGUUCUAUUCAGCGUUGAAGGUAUACCGGUAAGGAGUGCUGGAGCGGAUAGAAGUGAGCAUGCAGGCAUGAGUAGCGAUAAAAGGGGUGAGAAUCCCCUUCGCCGUAAACCCAAGGUUUCCUACGCGAUGCUCGUCAUCGUAGGGUUAGUCGGGUCCUAAGCAAAGUCCGAAAGGGGUAUGCGAUGGAAAAUUGGUUAAUAUUCCAAUACCAAUUAUUAUGUGCGAUGGAAGGACGCUUAAAGUUAAUGGAGCUAGCGGAUGGAAGUGCUAGUCUAAGGGCGUAGGUUGAGUUAUAGGCAAAUCCGUAACUCUCUAUCCGAGACCUCAAAGGCUCUUGACGCUCUUCGGAGUAGAUGGAGAAUCCAUGAUACUAUCGAGCCAAGAAAAGUUUCUAAGUUUAGUAAUAAUUGCCCGUACCGUAAACCGACACAGGUGGGUGGGAUGAGUAUUCUAAGGCGCGUGGAAGAACUCUCUUUAAGGAACUCUGCAAAAUAGCACCGUAUCUUCGGUAUAAGGUGUGCCUAACUUUGUAUUAAGAUUUACUCCCAAAGCAAAGAAGGUUACAACAAAGAGUCCCUCCCGACUGUUUACCAUAAACACAGCACUCUGCUAACUCGUAAGAGGAUGUAUAGGGUGUGACGCCUGCCCGGUGCUCGAAGGUUAAUUGAUGGGGUUAGCAUUAGCGAAGCUCUUGAUCGAAGCCCGAGUAAACGGCGGCCGUAACUAUAACGGUCCUAAGGUAGCGAAAUUCCUUGUCGGUUAAAUACCGACCUGCAUGAAUGGCGUAACGAGAUGGGAGCUGUCUCAAAGAGGGAUCCAGUGAAAUUGUAGUGGAGGUGAAAAUUCCUCCUACCCGCGGCAAGACGGAAAGACCCCGUGGACCUUUACUACAGCUUGACACUGCUAUUUGGAUAAAGAUGCGCAGGAUAGGUGGGAGGCUUUGAUCCAUAGACUCUGGUUUAUGGUGAGCCAUUGUUGAGAUACCACUCUUCUUUAUUUGGGUAGCUAACUAGCCUAAGUUAUCCUUAGGUAGGACAAUGUCUGGUGGGUAGUUUGACUGGGGCGGUCGCCUCCCAAAGUGUAACGGAGGCUUACAAAGGUUGGCUCAGAACGGUUGGAAAUCGUUCGUAGAGUAUAAAGGCAUAAGCCAGCUUAACUGCGAGACGUACAUGUCAAGCAGAGACGAAAGUCGGUCUUAGUGAUCCGGUGGUUCUGUGUGGAAGGGCCAUCGCUCAAAGGAUAAAAGGUACCCCGGGGAUAACAGGCUGAUCUCCCCCAAGAGCUCACAUCGACGGGGAGGUUUGGCACCUCGAUGUCGGCUCAUCGCAUCCUGGGGCUGGAGCAGGUCCCAAGGGUAUGGCUGUUCGCCAUUUAAAGCGGUACGCGAGCUGGGUUCAGAACGUCGUGAGACAGUUCGGUCCCUAUCUGCCGUGGGCGUAAGAAGAUUGAGGAGAGUUGACCCUAGUACGAGAGGACCGGGUUGAACCAGCCACUGGUGUAUCAGUUGUUCUGCCAAGAGCAUCGCUGAGUAGCUAAGCUGGGAUGUGAUAAGAGCUGAAAGCAUCUAAGCUCGAAGCCAACUCCAAGAUGAAUCUUCUUUUAAGAGCUCUAGUAGACUACUAGUUUGAUAGGCUGGGUGUGUAAUGGAUGAGAGUCCUUUAGCUGACCAGUACUAAUAGCUCGUUUGCUUAUCUU